UUAGCUAUGCACUGGGCAGUACCAUGCAUAAGUAACUUAGCCAAAAAGAGAGUCAGAAGCAGCGCCCAAGUCAAGGAGGCUCCAGAUGGUGGCACGUGUACGACUGGAUGCGAGCCACGUGUCCAGGUCUGUAACUGCCAGGAGAGAGAAAGUGACCAGGUAUAUAAGAGUUCUCAACAAACUUUCUGAGGUACGCACGUUCAGAUUACACUCUUUACGCUUG
rnacentral:lncRNA from 1 species